UCGCGGCCUAUCAGCUUGUUGGUGGGGUAGUGGCUUACCAAGGCUUUGACGGGUAGCUGGUCUGAGAGGAUGACCGGCACAUUGGCACUGAGAUACGGGCCAGACUCCUACGGGAGGCAGCAGUGGGGAAUAUUGCACAAUGGGCGAAAAGCCUGAUGCACGACGCCGCGUGGGGGAUGACGGUUUUUCGAUUUGUAACCCCUUUUCGCCUGAAAGAAGGGGUGGGUGACCGCCAUGGGUAAACCUCCACCGGAUAACUCCGUGACCUUCGCGCCGGCGAUCCCUAGGGUGCGAGCGUGGUCCGGAUUUAUUGGAUUUACAGGGCUUGUAGGCCGCCCAUCCCGUCUAGAAUGAAAACUGGGAAAUUAACCCCCAUCCUGCUUUUGAUACGAGGGGAAUUGAUGGAUUCAGGGGAGAACGAAGUUCCUGGAGUAUCCGGGGAAUGCGCAAAUUUCAUGAAGAACACCAAUAGCGAAGGCGGUUCUCGGGGCAUUCUCUGACGCUGAUAACCCUAAGCUGCGGAAGCAAACAGGGUUAAAUACACUGGAU
rnacentral:rRNA from 1 species